rnacentral:rRNA from 1 species
GACAGAGGCCACAAGCGUUAGGCGGAAUCACUGGGCUUAAAGCGUGUGUAGGCGGACCGUUAAGUGCUUUGUGAAAUCCCACGGCUCACCCGUGGAACUGCUUGGCAUACUGGCGGUCUUGGGCCAUCUAGGGGCGACUGGAACAAACGGUGGAGCGGUGAAAUGCGUAGAUAUCGUUUGGAACGCCAACGGUGAAAACAGGUCGCUGGGGAUGUGCCGACGCUGAGACACGAAAGCCAGGGGAG